UGCAGUCGAGCGCGGGAAGCGAGCGGAUCCCUUCGGGGUGAAGCUCGUGGAACGAGCGGCGGACGGGUGAGUAACACGUGGGCAACCUGCCUGUAAGAUCGGAAUAACCCCGGGAAACCGGGGCUAAUGCCGGGUAAUACUUUUCUUCGCAUGAAGAUGAGUUGAAAGAUGGCUUCUCGCUAUCACUUACAGAUGGGCCCGCGGCGCAUUAGCUAGUUGGUGAGGUAACGGCUCACCAAGGCAACGAUGCGUAGCCGACCUGAGAGGGUGAUCGGCCACACUGGGACUGAGACACGGCCCAGACUCCUACGGGAGGCAGCAGUAGGGAAUCUUCCGCAAUGGACGAAAGUCUGACGGAGCAACGCCGCGUGAACGAUGAAGGUCUUCGGAUCGUAAAGUUCUGUUGUCAGGGAAGAACAAGUACCGUGCGAAUAGAGCGGUACCUUGACGGUACCUGACGAGGAAGCCCCGGCUAACUACGUGCCAGCAGCCGCGGUAAUACGUAGGGGGCAAGCGUUGUCCGGAAUUAUUGGGCGUAAAGCGCGCGCAGGCGGUUCCUUAAGUCUGAUGUGAAAGCCCACGGCUCAACCGUGGAGGGUCAUUGGAAACUGGGGAACUUGAGGACAGAAGAGGAGAGUGGAAUUCCACGUGUAGCGGUGAAAUGCGUAGAUAUGUGGAGGAACACCAGUGGCGAAGGCGACUCUCUGGUCUGUUUCUGACGCUGAGGUGCGAAAGCGUGGGUAGCAAACAGGAUUAGAUACCCUGGUAGUCCACGCCGUAAACGAUGAGUGCUAGGUGUUA
rnacentral:rRNA from 1 species